GACAGAGGGUGCAAACGUUGUUCGGAAUUACUGGGCGUAAAGCGUGUGUAGGUGGCUGCGUAAGUCGGAUGUGAAAGCCCUGGGCUCAACUCAGGAAGUGCACUCGAUACUGCGUAGCUCGAGUACCGGAGAGGUUGGUGGAAUUCUCGGUGUAGAGGUGAAAUUCGUAGAUAUCGAGAGGAACACCUGUGGCGAAGGCGGCCAACUGGGCCGGUACUGACGCUGAGGCGCGAAAGCGUGGGGAGCGAACAGG
rnacentral:rRNA from 1 species